GAUGAACGCUGGCGGCGUGCCUAAUACAUGCAAGUCGAGCGAACAGACGAGGAGCUUGCUCCUCUGACGUUAGCGGCGGACGGGUGAGUAACACGUGGAUAACCUACCUAUAAGACUGGGAUAACUUCGGGAAACCGGAGCUAAUACCGGAUAAUAUAUUGAACCGCAUGGUUCAAUAGUGAAAGACGGUUUUGCUGUCACUUAUAGAUGGAUCCGCGCCGCAUUAGCUAGUUGGUAAGGUAACGGCUUACCAAGGCGACGAUGCGUAGCCGACCUGAGAGGGUGGUCGGCCACCCUGGAACUGAGACACGGCCCAGACUCCUACGGGAGGCAGCUGGAGGAAAUCUCCCGAAAUGGGGGAAACCCUGACGGGGCAACGCCGGGUGGGUGAUGAAGGUCUUCGGUUCGUAAAACUCUUUUAUUGGGGAAAAAAAAAUGUUUAAAUAACUAUGCCCGUUUUGCCGGUACCUACUCAGAAAGCCCCGGCUACCUCCGU
rnacentral:rRNA from 1 species